rnacentral:rRNA from 1 species
UACAGAGGUGGCAAGCGUUGUUCGGAAUUACUGGGCGUAAAGGGCGCGUAGGCGGCCUACUAAGUCAGACGUGAAAGCCCCGGGCUCAACCUGGGAAUGGCAAUGGAAACUGGCGGGCUAGAGUGUGGCAGAGGGGGGUGGAAUUCCGCGUGUAGCAGUGAAAUGCGUAGAGAUGCGGAGGAACACCGAUGGCGAAGGCAGCCCCCUGGGCUAGCACUGACGCUCAGGCACGAAAGCGUGGGGAGCAGACAGG